rnacentral:misc_RNA from 1 species
UCAGCUUAUUAUCACAAUGGCUUGGCACGUUUUGAGGCAAGUUAUCACAAAGAAACAAAUGUUCAUGUUGAACCGUUGUUUUGUUGAUGUCUUGGAUUAGUCUGAAUAUUUAAUAACGUUUCCAUGACUGUUCACAGAUAUAAUAUGCUGACUAUGAAUAAAAUUUUAUCCACUACUUUAUAAUAGGAAAUCCAAUAUCGUGUCCUUAAUUAUUAUCAAUGUUAUCAAACACCACUCUUUAAAUUUCUGUUUUUUUUUUUCAGUGUAAUCAAUACAGAAUUUGAAUUAGAUUAAGAAAGAUGAUUUUCAAAGUACUUGCUGGAGGAACUUAUUCGACAGACUGUCAGAAUGAAAAUAAAGAUUCGCAGCUCUCUUUAAACAAGUAUAGGUGCGUGAGGAACAGAGAGAGGAGGAGAGGGAGAGAGAGAGAGAGAGAGAGGGAAAGAGAGAGAAAAUGUGUGUUUACGCGUAUGUCUUUGAAAGAAAGAGAGGGAAUGGAAUUGUAUGAAAUCAAAUUAAAGGAACUUCGCUUACGGUCAUGUUGGUACACACUGUGCGUAGUUGCCAUAUUUAAACUGUUAAUACAAGUUCAUGAGUGAUCAAGCAACGAAUCACACUAUACUUUACAAGAGCAGCUGAGUUUCAUCGAAAAAUGGAUUUCUAAUGAUCGUCAUCGAUUAUAUUACAUAUUAUAAUGUAAUUCGUUAAUUUUUUCUUUUUUUACUGACUGUACAAUUGACAUUUACCGCUACAAAAAUUUUGUAUCAAUAAAAUAAUCAUGUAAAUAUCUUGUAACUUUAUACUUGUAUAUAUACAAUAAACGUUAAACGGAAUAAAAAUCUUACGUUCUCUAGCACAGGCCAAAAUAUUAUUCUGUAUUACUGAUCGUAUUUAUAGCUACUCUUUCUUUUAAUAUAGAGCUUGGGGCUGACUCGUGAAAUAUGUUAAGUAGCGUUUCUCGUCAAAUCUUCAGCAUUCCGUUGAAUUACUGUACUGGAUGGAUCAGGGAUGGGGCUUGGGCAUCACGUGGAGAUUACUAACUGUCACUCCUUGUAAUAAAGUAUAGUAUUAUUUGGGAGACUAAAGUGUCAACGUUAGUAGGCGUACGUCGUUAGCCCUUUUCUUCUUCCCGGAAAAAUUCGACGGGUUAGCGACUACCCUAGGAACAACGUUGUUCUCUCCUCGCUAUAAUCUCUCUCUCUCUCUCUCUCUCUCUUUUUCUCUAUUUAUAUAUAAUAAAUCCAAUCUGCACGCACUGCGUGUAUAAUAAAUAAAUACUUUCGAAAGUGCGUAUAAAUCGGUGUAUAAUGUGUUACAUAUAAACAAUUCGGCUCUGUUUCGAUUCAUCGAAAGAUUUCUUCCAACGGACAAAAAUCUGAUAGUACGAACUUUGGUAUGAGUUUAAUACUUCUUGGCACUCCUACACCAUUGAACUGAUAUUAGUGCAACUUUACAAGUCACAAAGUACAAACCAUUGUAUAAUAUCAUUAAUAGACUCUCUUGUAUCAUAUUAAGAAAUUUGAUAAUAAAAGAAAUGAAAUGUUAAGAGUGAAUUUUACAAAUCAUUUUCUAUUUGACGAAUAAAUUGUAAAAUUGUGGAAUAAUUU